CUUUUCUCCCCCUACUAAAGCAAAAACUCUGGUAGGACUUGAGUCAUAUUCUUCUCUGAGCUAGUUGAGCUCAUUUUCUUUCACCUCUGGUUUGUCCUUGGUGCUGUUAUGCUCGUUCGUGGGAGCGUGUUUUGUUCGACUAGUAUCUGUCCAAGUGUGAAAAUCCUUGGCAAUCGCAAUGAAGAUGGAAAUGCUGCAGUCUAGUUGCCCACGUUGGUUUAGGCUCAUUGUUGAGCCCUUUUGAAGUAUUGUUUUUAUUGUAAUUCUUUGCUCUCUGUAAGCAAGUCUUUUGGACAACUACCAAAUGUUUUGAUUCUAUUAUGUUAUUGACAUAGUUUUGUGCCUUAACUUUCCUACCGGUAUUUAUGGAUGAUUG